AUUGAACGCUGGCGGCAUGCCUUACACAUGCAAGUCGAACGGUAACAGGUUAAGCUGACGAGUGGCGAACGGGUGAGUAAUGUAUCGGAACGUGCCCAGUCGUGGGGGAUAACUACUCGAAAGAGUGGCUAAUACCGCAUACGACCUGAGGGUGAAAGCGGGGGACCGUAAGGCCUCGCGCGAUUGGAGCCGCCGAUAUCAGAUUAGCUAGUUGGUGGGGUAAAAGCCCACCAAGGCGACGAUCUGUAGCUGGUCUGAGAGGACGACCAGCCACACUGGGACUGAGACACGGCCCAGACUCCUACGGGAGGCAGCAGUGGGGAAUUCUGGACAAUGGACGCAAGUCUGAUCCAGCCAUGCCGCGUGCGGGAAGAAGGCCUUCGGGUUGUAAACCGCUUUUGUCAGGGAAGAAACGAGUUUCUCUAAUACAGAGACUUAAUGACGGUACCUGAAGAAUAAGCACCGGCUAACUACGUGCCAGCAGCCGCCGCAGUAA
rnacentral:rRNA from 1 species